UACGGAGGGAGCUAGCGUUGUUCGGAAAUACUGGGCGUAAAGCGCACGUAGGCGGCGCAGCAAGUCAGGGGUGAAAUCCCGGGGCUCAACCUCGGAACUGCCCUUGAAACUGCAGUGCUAGAAUCUUGGAGAGGCGAGUGGAAUUCCGAGUGUAGAGGUGAAAUGCUUAGAUAUCGUCAAGAACACCGAUAGCGAAGGCAGCUUACUAGGCUGUAACUGACGCUGAGGCACGAAAGUGUGGGGAUCAAACAGG
rnacentral:rRNA from 1 species